UCCCGAUGAUGAAAUGCUGUCUCUGACGUGCUGCACGGAGCCAGAACCUGUAAAGGUGAACCCACUGGUGCCUGCAGCACGGCAAGAGGAGAGAGGGUUCGUGUUGAACUGUCUGAUGGGAC